AUUGAACGCUGGCGGCAGGCUUAACACAUGCAAGUCGAACGAGUGGCGGACGGGUGAGUAAUGCUUGGGAAUCUCGCUUAUGGAGGGGGAUAACUAUGGGAAACUGUAGCUAAUCCCGCUUUCCAUAGGCUGAGCCGAAGUGGGAUUAGGUAGUUGGUGGGGUAAAGGUGCACCAAGCCGACGAUCUCUAGCUGGGCUGAGAGGAUGACCGGCCACACGGGGACUGAGACACGGCCCAGACGCCUACGGGAGGCAGCAGGGGGGAAUAUUGGGCAAUGGGAGAAAGCUGAAGGAGCCAUGCCGCGUGAAUGAGGAAGGCAUGCGGGUUGUAAAGUUCUUUAGGUAGCGAGGCGGUAACUACAGAAGAAGCACCGGCUAACUACGUGCCAGCAGCCGCGGUAAUAC
rnacentral:rRNA from 1 species